rnacentral:rRNA from 1 species
UACGUAGGGUCCGAGCGUUGUCCGGAAUUAUUGGGCGUAAAGGGCGCGUAGGCGGGGAGGUAAGUCGGGUGUGAAAUCCCUCGGCCCAACCGAGGAACUGCGCCCGAGACUGCUUCUCUUGAGUCCCGGAGAGGAAGAUGGAAUUCCCGGUGUAGCGGUGAAAUGUGUAGAGAUCGGGAGGAACACCGGUGGCGAAGGCGGUCUUCUGGACGGUGACGUGACGCUGAGGCGCGAAGCGUGGGGAGCAAACGGG